ACGGAGAGUUUGAUCCUGGCUCAGGAUGAACGCUAGCGGCAGGCCUAACACAUGCAAGUCGAGGGGCAGCAUAGAUUGCUUGCAAUCUGAUGGCGACCGGCGCACGGGUGAGUAACGCGUAUGCAACCUGCCUUCUACAGGAGGAUAGCCCCCGGAAACGGGGAUUAAUACUCCAUAGUAUUGCGUCAACAGAAGUUGACGUUCUUAAAGCUUCGGCGGUAGAAGAUGGGCAUGCGUCCUAUUAGCUUGUUGGUAAGGUAACGGCUUACCAAGGCAUCGAUAGGUAGGGGGCCUGAGAGGGUGGCCCCCCACACUGGUACUGAGACACGGACCAGACUCCUACGGGAGGCAGCAGUGAGGAAUAUUGGUCAAUGGAGGCAACUCUGAACCAGCCAUGCCGCGUGCAGGAAGAAUGCCCUAUGGGUUGUAAACUGCUUUUAUUUAGGAAGAAUCCCCAGUACGUGUACUGGGUUGACGGUACUAAACGAAUAAGGACCGGCUAACUCCGUGCCAGCAGCCGCGGUAAUACGGAGGGUCCAAGCGUUAUCCGGAAUCAUUGGGUUUAAAGGGUCCGUAGGUGGAUAAUUAAGUCAGAGGUGAAAUCCUGCAGCUCAACUGUAGAAUUGCCUUUGAUACUGGUUAUCUUGAAUUAUUGUGAAGUGGUUAGAAUAUGUAGUGUAGCGGUGAAAUGCAUAGAU
rnacentral:rRNA from 1 species